rnacentral:tRNA from 1 species
GGUCUCGUAGCUCAGUUGGUAGAGCAGAGCCCUGAAAAGGCUUGUGUCGUUGGUUCAAUUCCAACCGAGACCACCA